rnacentral:rRNA from 1 species
UACGUAGGGGGCUAGCGUUAUCCGGAAUUACUGGGCGUAAAGGGUGCGUAAGUGGUUUCUUAAGUCAGAGGUGAAAGGCUACGGCUCAACCGUAGUAAGCCUUUGAAACUGGGAAACUUGAGUGCAGGAGAGGAGAGUGGAAUUCCUAGUGUAGCGGUGAAAUGCGUAGAUAUUAGGAGGAACACCAGUUGCGAAGGCGGCUCUCUGGACUGUAACUGACACUGAGACGCGAAAGCGUGGGUAGCAAACAGG